rnacentral:rRNA from 1 species
AACGAACGCUGGCGGCAUGCCUAACACAUGCAAGUCGAACGAGAUCUUCGGGUCUAGUGGCGCACGGGUGCGUAACGCGUGGGAAUCUGCCCUUUGGUUCGGAAUAACAGUUGGAAACGACUGCUAAUACCGGAUGAUGACGAAAGUCCAAAGAUUUAUCGCCAGAGGAUGAGCCCGCGUAGGAUUAGCUAGUUGGUGUGGUAAAGGCGCACCAAGGCGACGAUCCUUAGCUGGUCGGAGAGGAUGAUCAGCCACACUGGGACUGAGACACGGCCCAGAAUCCUACGGGAGGCAGCAGUGGGGAAUAUUGGACAAUGGGCGAAAGCCUGAUCCAGCAAUGCCGCGUGAGUGAUGAAGGCCUUAGGGUUGUAAAGCUCUUUUACCCGGGAUGAUAUGACAGUACCGGGAGAAUAAGCUCCGGCUAACUCCGUGCCAGCCGCCGCCGUAA